rnacentral:rRNA from 1 species
AAUGAACGUUGGCGGCGUGGAUUAGGCAUGCAAGUCGAGCGCUCAUAGCAAUAUGGGAGCGGCGAACGGCGUAGUAAUACGUAGGAACGUACCCUCGGGUCGAGGAUAGCUAUGGGAAACUGUAGGUAAUACUCGAUAACCUCUGCGGAGCAAAGGUGUGAUUCCGCCCGAGGAGCGGCUUACGCGAUAUUAGCUAGUUGGUAGGGUAAUGGCCUACCAAGGCGAUGAUGUCUAGGGGGUGUGAGAGCAUGGCCCCCACGACCGGAACUGAGAUACUGUCCGGACACCUGCGGGUGGCUGCAGUCGAGAAUCUUCCGCAAUGGACGAAAGUCUGACGGAGCGACGCCGCGUGCGGGAUGAAGGCCCUUGGGUUGUAAACCGCUGUCAGAGGGGAUGAAAUCUUCGGAGGUACUCCUCCGAAGUUGACAGAGCCUCAAAGGAAGCACGGGCUAAGUACGUGCCAGCAGCCGCGGUAAAGUAGU